rnacentral:rRNA from 1 species
GGUUAAGCGACUAAGCGUACACGGUGGAUGCCCUGGCAGUCAGAGGCGAUGAAGGGCGUGCUAAUCUGCGAUAAGCGCCGGUAAGGUGAUAUGAACCGUUAUAACCGGCGAUACCCGAAUGGGGAAACCCAGUGUGACUCGUCACACUAUCAUUAACUGAAUCCAUAGGUUAAUGAGGCGAACCGGGGGAACUGAAACAUCUAAGUACCCCGAGGAAAAGAAAUCAACCGAGAUUCCCCCAGUAGCGGCGAGCGAACGGGGAGGAGCCCAGAGCCUGAAUCAGCAUGUGUGUUAGUGGAAGCGUCUGGAAAGGCGCGCGAUACAGGGUGACAGCCCCGUACACAAAAGCGCAUGUGCUGUGAGCUCGAUGAGUAGGGCGGGACACGUGAUAUCCUGUCUGAAUAUGGGGGGACCAUCCUCCAAGGCUAAAUACUCCUGACUGACCGAUAGUGAACCAGUACCGUGAGGGAAAGGCGAAAAGAACCCCGGCGAGGGGAGUGAAAAAGAACCUGAAACCGUGUACGUACAAGCAGUGGGAGCACCCUUUGGGGUGUGACUGCGUACCUUUUGUAUAAUGGGUCAGCGACUUAUAUUCUGUAGCAAGGUUAACCGAAUAGGGGAGCCGGAGGGAAACCGAGUCUUAACCGGGCGUUAAGUUGCAGGGUAUAGACCCGAAACCCGGUGAUCUAGCCAUGGGCAGGUUGAAGGUUGGGUAACACUAACUGGAGGACCGAACCGACUAAUGUUGAAAAAUUAGCGGAUGACCUGUGGCUGGGGGUGAAAGGCCAAUCAAACCGGGAGAUAGCUGGUUCUCCCCGAAAGCUAUUUAGGUAGCGCCUCGUGAAUUCAUCUCCGGGGGUAGAGCACUGUUUCGGCUAGGGGGCCAUCCCGGCUUACCAACCCGAUGCAAACUGCGAAUACCGGAGAAUGUUAUCACGGGAGACACACGGCGGGUGCUAACGUCCGUCGUGAAGAGGGAAACAACCCAGACCGCCAGCUAAGGUCCCAAAGUCAUGGUUAAGUGGGAAACGAUGUGGGAAGGCCCAGACAGCCAGGAUGUUGGCUUAGAAGCAGCCAUCAUUUAAAGAAAGCGUAAUAGCUCACUGGUCGAGUCGGCCUGCGCGGAAGAUGUAACGGGGCUAAACCAUGCACCGAAGCUGCGGCAGCGACACUGUGUGUUGUUGGGUAGGGGAGCGUUCUGUAAGCCUGUGAAGGUGUGUCGUGAGGCAUGCUGGAGGUAUCAGAAGUGCGAAUGCUGACAUAAGUAACGAUAAAGCGGGUGAAAAGCCCGCUCGCCGGAAGACCAAGGGUUCCUGUCCAACGUUAAUCGGGGCAGGGUGAGUCGACCCCUAAGGCGAGGCCGAAAGGCGUAGUCGAUGGGAAACGGGUUAAUAUUCCCGUACUUGGUGUUACUGCGAAGGGGGGACGGAGAAGGCUAUGUUGGCCGGGCGACGGUUGUCCCGGUUUAAGCGUGUAGGUGUGUGUUCCAGGUAAAUCCGGUUCACUUUAACACUGAGGCGUGACGACGAGGCACUACGGUGCUGAAGCAACAAAUGCCCUGCUUCCAGGAAAAGCCUCUAAGCAUCAGGUAACAUCAAAUCGUACCCCAAACCGACACAGGUGGUCAGGUAGAGAAUACCAAGGCGCUUGAGAGAACUCGGGUGAAGGAACUAGGCAAAAUGGUGCCGUAACUUCGGGAGAAGGCACGCUGACACGUAGGUGAAGUGAUUUACUCAUGGAGCUGAAGUCAGUCGAAGAUACCAGCUGGCUGCAACUGUUUAUUAAAAACACAGCACUGUGCAAACACGAAAGUGGACGUAUACGGUGUGACGCCUGCCCGGUGCCGGAAGGUUAAUUGAUGGGGUCAGCGCAAGCGAAGCUCCUGAUCGAAGCCCCGGUAAACGGCGGCCGUAACUAUAACGGUCCUAAGGUAGCGAAAUUCCUUGUCGGGUAAGUUCCGACCUGCACGAAUGGCGUAAUGAUGGCCAGGCUGUCUCCACCCGAGACUCAGUGAAAUUGAACUCGCUGUGAAGAUGCAGUGUACCCGCGGCAAGACGGAAAGACCCCGUGAACCUUUACUAUAGCUUGACACUGAACAUUGAGCCUUGAUGUGUAGGAUAGGUGGGAGGCUUUGAAGUGUGGACGCCAGUCUGCAUGGAGCCGACCUUGAAAUACCACCCUUUAAUGUUUGAUGUUCUAACGUGGACCCGUGAUCCGGGUUGCGGACAGUGUCUGGUGGGUAGUUUGACUGGGGCGGUCUCCUCCUAAAGAGUAACGGAGGAGCACGAAGGUUGGCUAAUCCUGGUCGGACAUCAGGAGGUUAGUGCAAUGGCAUAAGCCAGCUUGACUGCGAGCGUGACGGCGCGAGCAGGUGCGAAAGCAGGUCAUAGUGAUCCGGUGGUUCUGAAUGGAAGGGCCAUCGCUCAACGGAUAAAAGGUACUCCGGGGAUAACAGGCUGAUACCGCCCAAGAGUUCAUAUCGACGGCGGUGUUUGGCACCUCGAUGUCGGCUCAUCACAUCCUGGGGCUGAAGUAGGUCCCAAGGGUAUGGCUGUUCGCCAUUUAAAGUGGUACGCGAGCUGGGUUUAGAACGUCGUGAGACAGUUCGGUCCCUAUCUGCCGUGGGCGCUGGAGAACUGAGGGGGGCUGCUCCUAGUACGAGAGGACCGGAGUGGACGCAUCACUGGUGUUCGGGUUGUCAUGCCAAUGGCACUGCCCGGUAGCUAAAUGCGGAAGAGAUAAGUGCUGAAAGCAUCUAAGCACGAAACUUGCCCCGAGAUGAGUUCUCCCUGAGACUUAGAGUCUCCUGAAGGAACGUUGAAGACGACGACGUUGAUAGGCCGGGUGUGUAAGCGCAGCGAUGCGUUGAGCUAACCGGUACUAAUGAACCGUGAGGCUUAACCUU